rnacentral:rRNA from 1 species
CCGCAACGAGCGCAACCCCUGCCCUUAGUUGCCAUCGGUUCGGCCGGGCACUCUAAGGGGACUGCCGGCGACGAGCCGGAGGAAGGAGGGGACGACGUCAGGUACUCGUGCCCUUUAUGCCCUGGGCUACACACGCGCUACAAUGGGUGGUACAAUGGGUUGCGACCCCGCGAGGGGGAGCCAAUCCCUAAAACCACCCUCAGUUCGGAUCGCAGGCUGCAACCCGCCUGCGUGAAGCCGGAAUCGCUAGUAAUCGCGGAUCAGCCACGCCGCGGUGAAUACGUUCCCGGGGUUUGCACACACCGCCCGUCAAGCCACCCGAGUCGGGGGCACCCGAAGACGCUCAUCCUAACCCGAAAGGGAGGGAGAGCGUUGAGGGUGAACCUGGUGAGGGGGGCUAAGUCGUAACAAGGUAGCCGUACUGGAAGGUGCGGCUGGAUCACCUCCUUUCUAGGGAG